rnacentral:tRNA from 1 species
GUCCCUAUAGUUCAAUGGAUAGAACAACUGUUUCCUAAAUAGUCGAUCCGGGUUCGAGUCCCGGUGGGGGC